rnacentral:rRNA from 1 species
UACAGAGGGGGCAAGCGUUGUUCGGAAUUACUGGGCGUAAAGGGCGCGUAGGCGGCCGCCUAAGUCAGACGUGAAAUCCCUCGGCUCAACCGGGGAACUGCGUCUGAUACUGGGUGGCUUGAAUCCGGGAGAGGGAUGCGGAAUUCCAGGUGUAGCGGUGAAAUGCGUAGAUAUCUGGAGGAACACCGGUGGCGAAGGCGGCAUCCUGGACCGGCAUUGACGCUGAGGCGCGAAAGCGUGGGGAGCGAACAGG